GCCCUAGUAGUAUAAACUAUUACAAUGGUCUUGUAAGCCAUAAAUGGAAGUAUGACUUCCCUAGGACA
rnacentral:tRNA from 2 species